CUACGGAGGGUGCAAGCGUUACUCGGAAUCACUGGGCGUAAAGCGCGCGCAGGCGGGCUGAUAAGUUGGAUGUGAAAGCCUACGGCUCAACCGUAGAACUGCAUCCAAAACUGUCAGCCUAGAGUCUGGGAGGGGAAGAUGGAAUUAGUUGUGUAGGGGUAAAAUCCGUAGAGAUAACUAGGAAUACCAAAAGCGAAGGCAAUCUUCUGGAACACUACUGACGCUGAGGCGCGAAAGCGUGGGGAGCAAACAGGAUUAGAAACCCCAGUAGUCC
rnacentral:rRNA from 1 species